ACUGAACGCUGGCGGCAGGCCUAACACAUGCCAGUCGAGCGGAGCGGCGGACGGUUGAGUACUGCCUCGUCAUCUUCCUGGUCGUGGGGGAUAACGUCCGGGAACGGGCGCUAAUACCGCAUACUAUCAGAUUAGCCUAGGUCGGAUUAGCUAGUUGGUGGGGUAAAGGCCUACACAGGCGACGACCCGUAACUGGUCUGGGAGGAUGGUCAGUCACACUGGAACUGAGACACGGGCCAGGCUCCUACGGGAGGCAGCAGUGGGGAAUGUUGGACAAUGGGCGAAAGCCUGAUCCAGCCAUGCCGCGUGUGUGAAGAAGGUCUUCGGAUUGUAAAGCACUUUAAGUUGGGAGGCGUUACCAACAGAAUAAGCACCGGCUAACUUCGUGCCAGCAGCCGCGGUAAUUC
rnacentral:rRNA from 1 species